rnacentral:rRNA from 1 species
AUUGAACGCUAGCGGGAUGCCUAACACAUGCAAGUCGAGCGAGCGUCGGACGGGUGAGUAAUGUAUGGGGACUGCCCGAUAGAGGGGGAUAACUACUGGAAACGGUAGCUAAUACCGCAUACUAUCGGAUGACCCAUAUGGGGUUAGCUAGUAGGUGGGGUAAUGGCUCACCUAGGCGACGAUCCCUAGCUGGUCUGAGAGGAUGACCAGCCAACCUGGGACGGAGAAACGGCCAAGACUCCUACGGAGGCAGAAGUGGGGAACAUUGGACAAGGGGCGCAAGCCUGAUGCAGCCAUGCGGCGUGGAUGAAGAAGGCCCUAGGGUUGUAAAGUACUUUCAGUAGGGAGGCGUUACCGACAGAAGAAGCACCGGCUAACUCCGUGCCAGCAGCCGCGGUAAUAC